CAGUAAGCGGAGGACGCUUCCGUAUGCCCGCCGGAGUACGAAACCAAAAUCUGGAUAUUUUAUGUCUCUCUGAGUAAACUUUUAAAUAAGUCAAAACUUUCAACAACGGAUCUCUUGGUUCUGGCAUCGAUGAAGAACGCAGCGAAAUGCGAUAAGUAAUGUGAAUUGCAGAAUUCAGUGAAUCAUCGAAUCUUUGAACGCACAUUGCGCUCGCCAGUAUUCUGGCGAGCAUGCCUGUUCGAGCGUCAUUUCAACCAUCAAGCUCUGCUUGCGUUGGGGAUCCGCGUCUGACGCGGUCCCUCAAAAACAGUGGCGGGCUCGCUAGUCACACCGAGCGUAGUAACUCUACAUCGCUAUGGUCGUGCGGCGGGUUCUUGCCGUAAAACCCCCAAUUUCUAAGGUUGACCUCGGAUCAGGUAGGAAUACCCGCUGAACUUAAGCAUAUCAAUAGGCCGGAGG
rnacentral:rRNA from 1 species